UGGGGAAUUUUGCGCAAUGGGCGAAAGCCUGACGCAGCGACGCCGCGUGUGGGAUGAAGGUUUUCGGAUCGUAAACCUCUGUCAGAAGGGAAGAAACCGCACUGUGCUAAUCAGCAGUGCCUUGACGGUACCUUCAAAGGAAGCACCGGCUAACUCCGUGCCAGCAGCCGCGGUAAUAUGGAGGGUGCAAGCGUUAAUCGGAAUUACUCGGCGUAAAGCGCACGUAGGCUGCUUUGUAAGUCAGGGGUGAAAUCCCACGGCUCAACCGUGGAACUGCCUUUGAUUCUGCUUAGCGUGAAGCCGAGAGAGGGUGGCGGAAUUCCAGGUGUAGGAGUGAAAUCCGUAGAUAUCUGGAGGAACAACAGUGGCGAAGGCGGCCACCUGGGCCGGUAUUGACGCUGAGGUGCGAAAGCGUGGGGAGCAAACAGG
rnacentral:rRNA from 1 species